rnacentral:rRNA from 1 species
UACGAAGGGGGCUAGCGUUGCUCGGAAUCACUGGGUUUAAAGGGUGCGUAGGCGGGCAUGUAAGUCAGUGGUGAAAUCUCAAGCUUAACUCUGAAACUGCCAUUGAUACUAUGUGUCUUGAAUUUCCUGGAGGUUAGCGGAAUAUGUCAUGUAGCGGUGAAAUGCUUAGAUAUGACAUAGAACACCGAUUGCGAAGGCAGCUGACUACGGGUAGAUUGACGCUGAGGCACGAAAGCGUGGGGAUCAAACAGG